UACGUAGGGGGCUAGCGUUGUCCGGAAUCAUUGGGCGUAAAGCGCGCGUAGGCGGCCCGGUAAGUCCGCUGUGAAAGUCAAAGGCUCAACCUUUGAAUGUCAGCGGAUACUGCCAGGCUAGAGUCCGGAAGAGGCGAGUGGAACUCCUGGUGUAGCGGUGGAAUGCGCAGAUAUCAGGAAGAACACCAAUGGCGAAGGCAGCUCGCUGGAACGGAACUGACGCUGAGGCGCGAAAGCGUGGGGAGCGAACAGG
rnacentral:rRNA from 1 species